rnacentral:rRNA from 1 species
CCUACGGGUGGCAGCAGUGGGGGAUAUUGCACAAUGGGGGAAACCCUGAUGCAGCGACGCCGCGUGUGGGAAGACGGUCCUCUGGAUUGUAAACCACUGUCCCCAGGGACUAAGAUGACGGUACCUGACUAAGAAGCCCCGGCUAACUACGUGCCAGCAGCCGCGGUAAUACGUAGGGGGCAAGCGUUAUCCGGAUUUACUGGGUGUAAAGGGAGCGUAGACGGGGAUGCAAGUCUGAAGUGAAAGGCGGGGGCCCAACCCCCGGACUGCUUUGGAAACUGUAUGGCUGGAGUGCAGGAGAGGUAAGUGGAAUUCGUGGUGUAGCGGUGAAAUGCGUAGAUAUUAGGAGGAACACCAGUGGCGAAGGCGGCUUACUGGACUGUAACUGACGUUGAGGCUCGAAAGCGUGGGGAGCAAACAGGAUUAGAUACCCCUGUAGUC